UACGUAGGGGGCAAGCGUUGUCCGGAUUUAUUGGGCGUAAAGAGCUCGUAGGCGGUUUGGUAAGUCUGGUGUGAAAUCUCCACGCUCAACGUGGAGGGGCCACCCGAUACUGCCAUGACUGGAGUCCGGUAGAGGAGUGUGGAAUUCCCGGUGUAGCGGUGAAAUGCGCAGAUAUCGGGAGGAACACCGGUGGCGAAGGCGGAUCUCUGGGCCAUUACUGACGCUGAGGAGCGAAAGCGUGGGGAGCGAACAGG
rnacentral:rRNA from 1 species